rnacentral:rRNA from 1 species
GUUGUAAACUGCUUUCAUUGGCGAAGAAUGGUACCUACCUAUAAGGAUUCGACGGCUGCUACCGAAUUACCAUCGGGUAGCUCCCUCCCCUCUGCCAGAGUACUACCGAGGAUGCAAGCGAUGUCCGGAUCCAUUGGUUGCAUCGGGUGCGCGCGCGUGCUCUACCGUCAGUGCUGAGAUCCUGCAUUUUAUUUGUAUAUCUGCCUUUGAUACUUGUAUUCUUGAUUAUAGUCGAGGCGGGCGGACUGUGUGAUGUAUCGGUGAGAUGCUUACAUAUUACACAGACCAUCGAUUGCUAAGGCAGCUCACUAGAUUAAUAUUGACGCUGACGCACGAAAGCAUGGGGAACGAACAGGAUUAGAUACCCUGGUAGUCCACGCUUUGUAAACGAUGAUCACUCCGCUGUUGGCAAUACAUUGUCAGCGGCUGAGCGAAAGCAAUUAAGUGAUCCACCCUGGUGGAGUACGGGUCGCAUAGAUUGUAACUUUCCACAAAGGAAUUGACGGGGGCCCGCACGAAGCGGAGGAACAUGUGGUUUAAUUCGAUGAUACGCGAGGAACCUUACCUGGGCUUAAAUGCAGGACGACGUUAGCCGAAAGGGGUAUUUAUUCGGACGGACUGCCAAGGUACUGCAUGGCGGUCGUCAGCUCGUGCCGUGAGAUGUCGGGUUAAGUCCCAUAACGAGCGCAACCGUCAUCGUUAGCUUGCACAGCGGGUAAUGCCGGGGACUCUAGACGAUACUCCCGGUGUAAACUCGUGAGGAAGCUGGGGAUGACGUCAAGUCAGCAUCAGGCCACUUAUGUCCAGGGCUACACACGUGUUACAAUGGUCGGUACAAAGGGCAG